UUAAAUCACGUGAUUUUUGUUAUAUGUUAACAACACUAAGCAAAAUUCAAAUUUCAAUUUUUUCAUUGACGUGUUCAUCCAAAAAAAAAAAAUAAUUGAACCUUUUUCUGUUCAAAAUUGUUCGAAUUCAACCGUUACUUUGAAAUUCAACCAUUAUUGUUUUUGAAUCAAAUUUGACUGAAAUUUCUUCUAUUUAAUUUCUUCAAAUUCAACAUAAAUUACAACGAGAAAUAUUAAUGUUGUUGAAUCAAAUUCAAUUGUGAAUCAAAUUAGAUUGUAGCUUCUUCAGUUCAAUUUGUUCGAAUUCAACAAUCGAUUGCAAAUUUAACCAUUACUGUCGUUGAAGGUAUUUAAUCAUUAUUGUUUAUCGGUUCAAAAAAUUUUUGUCAACCAUUACUGAUGCUUCGUUCAAUUUUUUGUUAUCGUCGUUGAUUUAUUUAUGAAAAUUUUGUAAAUGAAUUUUGAGUUAAAAGCAAUGCAACAGUAAAUUGAAUAGAUAGAACAAAAUAGUGAUCGAAAUUAAUUUUUUAUGCUGCUCAAAUUAAAUUUUUUGGAGGUCUGAUUCUCAGAAUUUAAGACUAUUUCUAUAUUUCAGAUAAUUUUGAUUAUAUAUAUUUUGGUUGUGUUCGAUUGUAGAAGUCGUGGCUUUAUCCAUAUUUAACGUUGAACAAAUAAUUUGUUAUUGUAUUUUCUGUUGGGAAUUUUGAUUGUGUUUGUAAUUUAUGUUUAACAAAUUUGUUGCAAUUGCAUUUUCCGCUGAAGUUCUUGUCUAUGUAAGUAUAUGUUAUUUAUGUUUAUAACUGUAGAAGUUUGUUUGCAUUUUUAUUUUGUAAUUGUAUAUUGUAACUAUUGAUGUCUGACAGAUAUUUUUUUUUGUAGUUUAGUUGAAAUACGUUAGCAAUGGGGAGCAUCCCAGUCCUCGUGAAGCACUCCGAAAGGUGGACGUAUGAAAAAAACUAUGAAGAGUACAUUACUGAUGCACUAUUGAUGAGCACGACAACAUCAUACAAUGUACUACACGAUCUUUUAGCAUCUCAUAUUAAUGUGGAUUUGAGUAGCACACACAUUCAAAUUGAAUAUCAAAUCACUGAAAAUGCUGGACAAAUUCAAAUAUAUAAUGAUAUGGGUUUAAAGGUGCUUAUUAUGCAAAAAAAAAAAGAGAUACAAGACAUGAAUUGUCUUCCUUUAUAUUUAAGCAUUUUGGAGAAAGAUGUUGUGAGCACCUUUGAAAGUUCAUCUGUAUGUGUUGUUGAAAGAAGAGACGUCCAAAACAAUUUUCAUCAAGUGUUAAAUACAUCUUUUGAUGGUGUUAAAAUCGGGUAGGGAUAUAUUUGAACAGAAGAACAUCAACUCAUGCAAUGGUUGUGGGUCUAAGGGUCACAAUAGGCGUUCGUGUAGGAAAUAUCGUAAAUGAUACAUUUGUUCUUCCGUAUUCUUUCUUUAUAAUUUCUUUUGCACUUUUCAUAAUAAUGAACUCAUUUGUGUGUUAUAAGACCUUUAUCGACCACUUGCUAUAAUGUGUUAUAAAUAACAAUUAGUAAUACAGUUAUGUAUUACUAAAUUUGAUAGAAAAAUACAUAUGCUUUUUAUUUGAAAAAUACUAUGUUUAAGGAUAUACGUAUUUGAUAACUGAGAUGUUUUUCAAAUAUGACCACUUAUACGUAUUUGUAAUAUGAAAGUAUUUUAAAGUAUUUGAAAGUAAAUGAAUAAAGUUAAAUCUGAAUACUGCAUAUGUAUAUAUUGCAAAAUCUGAACAUUGCAUAUUUAUUUUUAAGCUAAAUCUCACUGUAAUAAAUAAAACAUGAACACUAAAAUAAAACACAAAGUACAAAAUUAUUGAAGACAUAUUAAACAUAAAAGACUAAAAUGAAUUACUUUCAUUUGUUUCAAAAUUAGUAAGUUUGAUUCGCUUCAUAUGUAUUUUGAAAGUAAAUGAACAAAGAUUAAAAUACAUAUCAUGUUAACUACAUAUGUAUAUUUAAGUUAAAUCUAAAUACUGCGUAUGUAUAUAUCGCAAAAUCUGAGCACUACAUAUAUAUUUUGAAGCUAAAUCACACUGUAACAAAUACAACUAAACACUGGAAUAAAACACAGACUACAAAAUUAUUGAAAAUAUAUUCAACAUAACAGACUAAAAUGAAUUACUUUCAUUCACUUCAAAGUUUGUAACUUUGAUUCACUUUAUAUAUAUUUGAAAGAAAAUGAAUCAAGAGUAAAAUACAUAUGAUAUCAACUACAUAUAUAUUUUUAAUUUAAAUUUGAAUACUGCAUAUGUAUAUAUUGUAAAAUUUGAACACUGCAUAUGUAUUUUGAAGUUAAAUCUCACUAUAAUAAAUAAAACUGAACAGUAGAAUAAAACACAGACUACAAAAUUAUUGAAAACAUAUUCAACAUAAAAGACUAAAGUGAAUUACUUUCAUUCGCUUCAAAAUAAGUAAAUUUGAUUCACUUCAAAACAUAAAAUAAGUUUCUACAAUUAAUACCAACAUCCAGUUAAAUCUUGUCAAUUACACAAUGUAAUAAAAUCAUCAACCAUCAGACUUCUAAUACUUCUACGACACUAGUUAUCUUGCUUUUCUUAACAGGUCUUAUGGCGCUUCGUCGUCACUUUGAGCUUUUGCUUCUUGUUUUCUCAUGCCGUAAUUCCACAAUAGUGAAACAUAUCUUGUACAAAGUACGUGGGAUUGAACUCAACUGAAGGAACGCCUUGACCAUAAGAAAGAUACUCUGCGUAUAUAAUCAAAUACAAACCACAAUCCCUACAAAAAAUAUUGAAUAAUAAUUAAAAUAUAUUUCGUACAAACUUACAAAUUUAGUAUAUGUAUAUUAAAAUACUUACAAUCUUCCACUUGGUUGUUGAGGCAAAUCCUCUACAAAUAACACAUCAAUAUUUUACAUCAAUAUGGCCUGUAAACUUUCCUCAAUAUCAUUUUCACUGUAGCAACACAUAUGUGGUGGAAAUCUUGAAAGUUUUCUUACAAUGAGUAUUUCAUCACGUGAUACCUAUACAAAGUAAAACUACACCUUAUUAAACUGUAAAAAACAACAAAACACAAUCGCCACAUCAAAAAAUACAUAUAUAUAUAUGCAUAUGUAUAUUGAACAAAACAAAAAUACAAAACCAUCACUAAAGCAAAACACAUAUGAAAUUUGAUAUGUAUGUAUAAAAUACAAAUGCUUCCCUAUACCUUAAAAUGUAUAUUGAAUUUAACAAAAAUAUAAAUGAAAGUGCAUAUAUAUCUAUAAAACAUACAAACUACUUACAUAUACCUUAAAUGUAUAUUUAGUCAGUCAUUUGUAUAUAUGGCAAACCUACAUAAACUGUAUUGAAAAAUUAUUUUAAAAUGUAUUUGUAUUUCAAUAGAUACAAAUACGUCCAUAACCACAAAUGUAUUUGUAUAUUUCAACAUUUCAAUAUAAUGAAAAUACAUAUCAAUUAUAAUAAAAGUGCAUAUAGCUAAAUACCUCUUCAUGGAUAAUUCAUACAUAAAUGUAUUUUUCCAUACAUGCAACUUAACAAAUUCAUUUAACAUGCAAAUAUAACUAAACAUAGCAACUUUACAAAAAAUACAAAUAAAAACAUGUUAACCCAAAAUGUAUAUUUAACCUAUCAUCUUCACAAAUCAGUUUUACUGAAAUCCCUAAAUAUAUAUCAGCUGAUCAGUAAAUACAUAUUAGCUUCACAAAAAAAUACAUACUACCCCAAAUUGAUAACAGCUUUACUGAAAUCCCUAAAUAUAUAAUAGUAAAUAAAAAUACAUAUACAACAAAAAAUAUCUCUUCCUCAAUGUUUUCUUCAACAACAAAUCAACCCAAAAUCAUCUACAAUAUCCAUUCAACUCUAAUUAUCCUCCAUUAAUCGCUACAAAACAAAAUUCAAUUUCAAUUUUCAUCCAAAUUUUUUUUCAACUAUAUCAACUCAUAAAACAUCAAAUUUCACUGAAAAACAAACAAAAAAAAAUUAUCAACAACAAAUCAACCCAAAAUCAUCUAUAAUAUCCAUUCAACUCUGAUUAUCCUCCAUUAAUCGCAACAAAACAUAAUCCAAUUUCAAUUCUCAUCCAAAAUUCAACCUUUUCAACUAUAUCAACUCAUAAAACAUAAAAUUUCACUAAAAACAAAUAAAACAAAAUUUAGCAAAUUCGAUCACAUUGAUUCUCCGCUAACAACUACAAAAAUCAAAACCUUAAAGACGAAUUGGAAAAAUUGUUUACAGUACAAUUUUUUUUUUUUUGAGAAAUUGAUAAAAUGCAAUAACUGAAUUAAUAGUUACCUAAAAUUGUGGAACAAUUUCCUUAUCAGAUCGUGCAAAAGAUGUUAAGAAGGGACAAAUUUUGAAAGAGAAAAUCUGAGAAAAAGCGAGAAAAAUGAUAAAGUAAGAAGCAAUUAAAGAAAAGAGAGAUUUUAAGCGUGAAAAAUGGAACCUCAAACACGGUAACUUCUGAGAGACGGUAAGUGUGAUCCCCUACUUAAAAUAAUAUUAGAUUUGCUACACAAGAUAAUUUAAUCAAAGUAUUGCUAUUUUUUAUAAUUUAAGUGUUAAGUAUGUUACCCCUAUAGUUUGGUUACUAGUUUGAGGCUAAAAUCCAAAGAACAGCACCAUUCCAAUUAAGGAGGUGUGCUUUUGAUAAGUCUCCAACCUAAGUUAUUUUUGGUCCCAUGUUUUUAGGGUGGGCAGCACCAUUUCAAUUAAAUAGGUGUGAUUUUUUUAAAAAAAAAAAUACAUAUAGAGGUUAAUAAUAUUUUUGGUCACUCAGUUAGCAAAUUUUAAUUUUAAUUUUUAUAAUAUAUAAAUAAAUAUACUUGAUUUUUAAUUAAUUAAAAUGUGUAUUUCUUGUACGUAAAAAUAUUAUAUUUAUAUUAUUUUAAAUAAUUAUAUUACCCUCGAAUAUGAAGUAAUAAUACAAACUUAAUUAACAUAAUUUAAUAAGCGUUGAAUGAUACUAGUGUUAAUAAUUUAGUAAAUUUGUCAAGAUUCAUUAAUAAAGGGGACCAGAAGCACAUAUAUUAAGAGAUUUUAUCUACAAAUAGGUUCCAUAAUAUGUGGAACAAUAAUACCUAUCUUUAUUGUUCCAAUGAUGAUAAAAUAAAAGGCAAAUCAAGAAUUAACAUUUGAAGAAUAAUUGCAAUACAUUCAAUAAAUCUCAUUUAAAGUGCGACAAACAUGGCUUUGGUACUGUAUUAUUAGACAAAUAUCAAAAAGUAUUUUCACAAGUCAUAAUUAAAAUACAUUCAAUAAAUCUCAUUUAAAGUGCGACAAACAUGGCUUUGGUACUGAAUUAUUAGACAAAUAUCAAAAAGUAUUUUCACAAGUCCACUAUAUUGUUCUUGAUGUCAAGGAUAGAGUUGUAGUUCUGUAACAAAAUUUAUUAGCUUUAGUCUAGAACUUAUUUAUAUUUUAAAUAUUUAUUUAAUGUGUAUAGAUAAUCUUUCCUAAAGUAAUUAAACCUUUUAUUUUCAAAUUUGAAAAGAUACAAAUUUAAAAUUCGAGCUUUGUUUCUAUCUGAUGUGUGAUGUAUAAAGUAAGAAAUCUAAGAUAAUCAGAAUAUGGAUCGAAUUGUAUCCGAAGAACAGGGGGAUACAAAAAAGUAAUAAGAGAGGCGCACAGACCAAUUAAUCGUAUCGGUCGUAUUCUUGAAUUUGGAAUGAAACGAGGAGUAAUGCUUCCUAGCACGGGACAAAGAAUAAGACCACUUAGAUCAGAAUAGCAUUCACAGAAAUGUUCUAACAUAGAGUAGAAUCGAACAUGGAAGAGAUUCAUUGACAACAGUAAAAAGAUGGGCGCCUAAUUCCAAUACAAUAGGGGUCUAUCAGCCAGCCGAACCCAUUCAGACCCAAAACCGGCUUGCGCGAAUCACCCUUAGAUAGGGUAGACUCUGUCGCGUGCCCUCCCGUUCCAUCUGGGCCAAAUACCUAUUUAAGGUAUUUUCGGCGAUAGUAGUUCCCACCCG
rnacentral:lncRNA from 1 species